rnacentral:rRNA from 1 species
UACGUAGGGUGCGAGCGUUAAUCGGAAUAACUGGGCGUAAAGAGUGCGUAGGCGGAUAUUUAAGUUAGAUGUGAAAUGCCCGAGCUUAACUUGGGACUGGCAUGUAAUACUGGGUAUCUAGAGUUUGUCAGAGGGGGGUAGAAUUCCACGUGUAGCAGUGAAAUGCGUAGAGAUGUGGAGGAAUACCAAUGGCGAAGGCAGCCCCCUGGGAUAGAACUGACGCUGAGGCACGAAAGCGUGGGUAGCAAACAGGAUUAGAUACCCUGGUAGUCCACGCCCUAAACGAUGUCUACUUGCUGUUGGGGGUGAAACUUCAGUAGCGAAGCUAACGCGAGAAGUAGACCGCCUGGGGAGUACGGUCGCAAGAUUA